UACAGAGGUGGCAAGCGUUUGUUCGGAAUUACUGGGCGUAAAGGGCGCGUAGGCGGCCUUCUAAGUCAGACGUGAAAUCCCCCGGCUUAACCUGGGAACUGCGUCUGAUACUGGGAGGCUUGAGUAUGGGAGAGGGAUGUAGAAUUCCAGGUGUAGCGGUGAAAUGCGUAGAUAUCGGGAGGAACACCAGUGGCGAAGGCGGCGCCUGGACAGAUAUUGACGCUGAGGUGCGAAAGCGUGGGA
rnacentral:rRNA from 1 species